GAACGCGACGAACCUUACCAGGUCUUGACAUCCUGCGCUAACCUAAGAGAUUAGGCGUUCCCUUCGGGGACGCAAUGACAGGUGGUGCAUGGUUGUCGUCAGCUCGUGUCGUGAGAUGUUGGGUUAAGUCCCGCAACGAGCGCAACCCUUGUCAUUAGUUGCCAUCAUUAAGUUGGGCACUCUAGUGAGACUGCCGGUGACAAACCGGAGGAAGGUGGGGACGACGUCAGAUCAUCAUGCCCCUUAUGACCUGGGCUACACACGUGCUACAAUGGACGGUACAACAAGAAGCGAACUCGCGAGAGCAAGCAUAUCUCUUAAAGCCUUUUACAGUUCGGACUGUAGGCUGCAACUCGCCUACACGAAGUCGGAAUCGCUAGUAAUCGCGGAUCAG
rnacentral:rRNA from 1 species